AACGAACGCUGGCGGCAUGCUUAACACAUGCAAGUCGAACGCACCUUUCCGGGUGAGUGGCAGAAUGAUGAGUAACCCGUGGAAAUCUACCCUUCUCUACUGGAUAUCUCCCGGAAACUGGAAUUAAUACCGUAUACUUCCUGAGGAAAAAAGAUUUAUCCGGGAGGGAUGAGCCCGCAUUAGAUUACCUAUUUGGAGGGGCAAAGGCCUACCCAGGCUUACUUAUCCGAUAGCUGGGCUCACAGGAUGAUCAGACGCAUUGGCACUGAGACACGGUCACCACUCCUACUGGAAGUGACACUGGGGAAUAAUGCACAAUGGACGCAAGCCUGAUCCAUCCUUGCCGCGGGAGUGAUGAAUGACCUAGGGAUGUCAAGCUCUUUAUGAGGGGACUAUAAUGACAGUACCCUCUCAAGAAGCCCCAGCUAACUUCGUGCCUACCUGCGCAAUAAUACCAAGGUGGCUACCGUUGUUCGGAAUUACUGGUACGUAAAGCGCACAUAGGCAUAUAUUUAUAUCGGGCGUGAAAUCCCGGGGCUCAACCCCUGAACUGCCUUUGAUACUGGGCUAUCUUGAGUUCAGAAGAGGUAGACUGGAAUUGCGAGGUGUAGAGGUGAAAUUUGUAGAUAUUCGGAGGAACACCGAUGGCGAAGGCGGCUUACUGGUCUGAUACUGACGCUGAGGAGCGAAAGCGUGGGGAGCAAACAGGAUUAGAUACCCUGGUAGUCCACGCCGUAAACGAUGGACACUAGGCGUGGGGAGAUUUAUUCACUCGGUGGAGCAGCAAAUAACUUAUUCUUCGCCCCUGGUGAGUACUGCCGCCACAUUGAUACUCAAAGGAAUUGGGGGGGGCCCCCCCCACCAGCGGAGCAUGUGGUUUAAUUUGAAGCUGCGCCCAGAACCUCACCACCUCUUGUUGUGCUGCUACGAGGACCCGAAAAGAUCCUCUUCUUUGGGGAGGUGGACACAGGUGCAGCAUGGUUGUCGUCAUCUCCUGUGAGGAGAUGAUGGUUUAAGUCCAGCAAGGAGAGCACCGCCCUCCUCCUUAGUCACCAGCAAAGAGUGGGGCAUUAUAAGGGGACUCCGGGGUAUAAUCCGAGAGGAAGGUGGGGAAGAUGUCAUGUCCUCACGCCCCAUAUGGGGGGGGUUACACACGUGACACAAUGGGGGUCACAAUGGGCAGCCAACUCGAGAGAGUGCUAUAAUCCCAAAAAGCGUUUUCAGUUGGGAUGGCAUUUUGCAAUUGGGGCCCAGGAAUUGGGAAUCGUUAGUAUUGGAGAAUCAGCAUGCCGCGGUGAAUACGUUCCCGGGCCU
rnacentral:rRNA from 1 species